GAAGAGUUCUGGAAAGGACUUCCAAAGAGGGUAAGAGGCCCGUAUCCGAAAAGCAAAAUCGGCUAGCUGAUACCAGAGUACCACAGGACACGAGGAAUCCGGUGGGAAGCAGGAGGGACCACCCUCCAAGGCUAAAUACGAUCCAGUGACCGAUAGCGCAUAGUACCGUGAGGGAAAGGUGAAAAGAACCCCGGGAGGGGAGUGAAAAAGAACCUGAAACCCUGUGCUUACAAGCAGAGAGAGCACGAUUAAGUGUGAUCUCGUACUUUUUGUAGAACGGACCGGCGAGUUACGUUAUGCAGCGAGGUUAAGGACUAAAGGUCCGGAGCCGAAGCGAAAGCGAGUCUGAAUAGGGCGCAUAGUUGCAUGACGUAGACCCGAAACCGGGUGACCUAUCCAUGGGCAGGUUGAAGUGGAAGUAAAAUUUCAUGGAGGACCGAACCAGACGUCUGUUGAAAAAGGCGGGGAUGACCUGUGGAUAGCGGAGAAAUUCCAAUCGAACCCGGAGAUAGCUGGUUCUCCUCGAAAUAGCUUUAGGGCUAGCCUCGCAUUAGUUUACCGGAGGUAGAGCACUGAAUGGUCUAGGGGGCCUCACCGCCUACCGAAACCUAUCAAACUGCGAAUGCCGGAUAAAUGAUGUGCGGGAGUCAGGCCGCGAGAGAUAAGUUCCGCGGUCAAAAGGGGAACACCCCAGAUCGUCUGCUAAGGUCCCCAAGUACGCGUUAAGUGGGAAAGGAUGUUGGAUUGCACAGACAACCAGGAUGUUGGCUUAGAAGCAGCCACACAUUCAAAGAGUGCGUAAUAGCUCACUGGUCGAGUGAUCCAGCGCCGAAAAUGUAACGGGGCUAAAACGCGACACCGAAGCAGCGGGAUGCGUAAGCAUCGGUAGAGGAGCAUUGUGUGAGGGUUGAAGCCAGAGCGGGAGCACUGGUGGACUUCACAGAAGAGAGAAUGCCGGUAUGAGUAGCGAGACCCAUGCGAGAAACAUGGGCGUCGAAGGCCCAAGGUUUCCUGGGGAAGGUUCAUCCACCCAGGGUAAGUCGGGACCUAAGCCGAGGACUGAGGUCGUAGGCGAUGGACAGCAGGUAGAGAUUCCUGCACCACUUACACUUGUUUGACGAAGCAGUGACACAGAAGGAUAGGACGAGCGCGGUGAUGGUCAACCGCGUAGGCGGCACGAGGCCGGGAAGCAGUGAAGUACACUUCCCGCAAAGGCUGAGUGUUGACAGGACCGAAAAGAAGUAGGGAAGCGUCCGAGUUCACGCUGGCGAGAAAAGCUGCUAAGGAGAGUGUGAGUGCCCGUACCGGAAACCGACGCAGGUGGGCGAGGAGAGAAUCCUGAGACGGACGGGAGAACUCUUGUUAAGGAACUCGGCAAAAUGACCCCGUAACUUCGGGAGAAGGGGUGCCUCGAAAGAGGCCGCAGAGAAUAGUCACAAGCGACUGUUUAGCAAAAACACAGGUAUCUGCGAAAGCGAGAGCUGACGUAUAGGUGCUGACGCCUGCCCGGUGCUGGAAGGUUAAGGGGAAGUGUUAGGGGAAACCCGAAGCAGAGAACCGAAGCCCCAGUAAACGGCGGCCGUAACUAUAACGGUCCUAAGGUAGCGAAAUUCCUUGUCGGGUAAGUUCCGACCCGCACGAAUGGCGUAACGACUUGUGAGCUGUCUCAACAGGAGGCCCGGUGAAAUUGAAGUAUGUGUGAAGAUGCACAUUACCCGCGACUGGACGGAAAGACCCCGUAGAGCUUUACUGUAACCUGACAUUGGAUCUUGAUAACGGAUGCACAGGAUAGGUGGGACGCUGGGAGACGAGGACUUUGGUUUUCGUGGAGCGGCCGUUGGGAUACCACUCUUCUGUUAUUGAGAUUCUAACCUCAAGCCGUGAGCCGGAUGAGAGACAGUGUCAGGCGGACAGUUUGACUGGGGCGGUCGCCUCCGAAAGAGUAACGGAGGCGCCCAAAGGUACCCUCAGAAUGGAUGGAAACCAUUCGAAGAGAGCAAAGUCAGAAGGGUGCUUGACUGCGAGACCAACAAGUCGAGCAGGUACGAAAGUAGGGCUUAGUGAUCCGGCGGUAAGAGAGUGGAAUUGCCGUCGCUCAACGGAUAAAAGCUACCUCGGGGAUAACAGGCUGAUCUCCCCCAAGAGUUCACAUCGACGGGGAGGUUUGGCACCUCGAUGUCGGCUCA
rnacentral:rRNA from 1 species